rnacentral:rRNA from 1 species
CCUACGGGGGGCAGCAGUGGGGAAUAUUGGACAAUGGGGGCAACCCUGAUCCAGCCAUGCCGCGUGUGUGAAGAAGGCCUUUUGGUUGUAAAGCACUUUAAGCAGUGAAGAAGACUCUAUGGUUAAUACCCAUAGACGAUGACAUUAGCUGCAGAAUAAGCACCGGCUAACUCUGUGCCAGCAGCCGCGGUAAUACAGAGGGUGCAAGCGUUAAUCGGAAUUACUGGGCGUAAAGCGAGCGUAGGUGGCUUAAUAAGUCAGAUGUGAAAUCCCCGGGCUUAACCUGGGAACUGCAUCUGAUACUGUUGGGCUAGAGUAGGUGAGAGGGAGGUAGAAUUUCAGGUGUAGCGGUGAAAUGCGUAGAGAUCUGAAGGAAUACCGAUGGCGAAGGCAGCCUCCUGGCAUCAUACUGACACUGAGGUUCGAAAGCGUGGGUAGCAAACAGGAUUAGAUACCCCAGUAGUC